UAGUCAUUUCCAAGGCUUUUAGAAUGCAGUUUGUCAUUUGCCAUGGACAUGACCACAAAACAUUUCCCCAGUAGGGUUUUUUUUUUUUUUUUUUCUCUGCUAUGUUGACAACAUAGCAUUCAGCCUACUGGAACAUUU